UGGGGAAUAUUGCACAAUGGGCGCAAGCCUGAUGCAGCCAUGCCGCGUGUAUGAAGAAGGCCUUCGGGUUGUAAAGUACUUUCAGCGGGGAGGAAGGUGUUGAGGCUAAUAACCUCAGCAAUUGACGUUACCCGCAGAAGAAGCACCGGCUAACUCCGUGCCAGCAGCCGCGGUAAUACGGAGGGUGCAAGCGUUAAUCGGAAUUACUGGGCGUAAAGCGCUCGCAGGCGGUCUGUCAAGUCGGAUGUGAAAUCCCCGGGCUCAACCUGGGAACUGCAUUCGAAACUGGCAGGCUAGAGUCUUGUAGAGGGGGGUAGAAUUCCAGGUGUAGCGGUGAAAUGCGUAGAGAUCUGGAGGAAUACCGGUGGCGAAGGCGGCCCCCUGGACAAAGACUGACGCUCAGGUGCGAAAGCGUGGGGAGCAAACA
rnacentral:rRNA from 1 species